rnacentral:rRNA from 1 species
AACGAACGCUGGCGGCAGGCCUAACACAUGCAAGUCGAGCGCCCCGCAAGGGGAGCGGCGGACGGGUGAGUAACGCGUGGGAACGUGCCCUUUGCUACGGAAUAGCCCCGGGAAACUGGGAGUAAUACCGUAUAAGCCCUACGGGGGAAAGAUUUAUCGGCAAAGGAUCGGCCCGCGUUGGAUUAGGUAGUUGGUGGGGUAAUGGCCUACCAAGCCGACGAUCCAUAGCUGGUUUGAGAGGAUGAUCAGCCACACUGGGACUGAGACACGGCCCAGACUCCUACGGGAGGCAGCAGUGGGGAAUCUUAGACAAUGGGCGCAAGCCUGAUCUAGCCAUGCCGCGUGAGCGAUGAAGGCCUUAGGGUUGUAAAGCUCUUUCGUGGGGGAAGAUGAUGACUGUACCCCAAGAAGAAGCCCCGGCUAACUCCGUGCCAGCAGCCGCGGUAACAC